CAUUGGGUCGCAGGCGGAGUUUGAGUUCGAUAAAGGUUUUUGUCAUCCCCAAUGC
rnacentral:tRNA from 1 species